rnacentral:misc_RNA from 1 species
GGCUGAAAUGAUCCUCAGUUUCGUUGUGGAAGCAGCUCUGUCCAGGGUGUCUUCGCUCAUGGCCAAUGAAAUCAUCAGUGCUUGGAAGCUCAACGACGAGUUUAAAGGCCUUCAAGACUCGCUCACCAUGAUUCGUGAUGUGCUUCAAGAUGCAGAGGAACAACAAACGGAAAAAGAAUCUGUGAAGCGCUGGCUGAAGAAGCUCAAGGAAGUAGCUUAUGAUGCUGAGGAUGUCUUUGAUGAGUUAGCCUAUGAGAAUCUUCGACGAAAGGUUGAGAUGCAAGACCAAUCGGGAACAGAGAGGCUUAAUUACCAUUUUUGCUUUUCUAUGGGCGUGGACAAUGCACUAGCUUUAUUUGGAAUACUCAGGUAUUUCAAUUCCUUUCAUCUGCAUUUCUCAAAUUUUUGAUUUCUUCUUCCUCUUUUCUUCUUUGUGAGUAGUGACUUCACCGAUGUGCUAACGCAAAUAUUACAACCUGAAAUUUGAUUAAUUUAUGCAAGGUCUCAGGUAUUAUUAUUUUUGCUAAUCCUCAUAUCUUAUUAUCUUCUCUACAAAUUGCAGAGCUCUACUGUUAAGUAGAUAAAUGAUUAAAUUUGAAAUUUUCU